UACGUAGGGGGGCAAGCGUUUGUCCGGAUUUACUGGGUGUAAAGGGUGCUCAGGUGGCUUUGUAAGUCAGCGGUGAAAUCUUAGAGCUCAACUCUGAAACUGCCGUUGAUACUACUUGGCUUGAGUAUGGAAGAGGUUGAUGGAAUUUCAGGUGUAGCAGUGAAAUGCGUAGAUAUCUGAAAGAACACCAGUGGCGAAGGCGGUCAACUGGUCCAUUACUGACACUAAAGCACGAAAGCGUGGGUAGCGAACAGG
rnacentral:rRNA from 1 species